GAUGAACGCUGGCGGCGUGCCUAAUACAUGCAAGUCGAGCGAACGGACGAGAAGCUUGCUUCUCUGAUGUUAGCGGCGGACGGGUGAGUAACACGUGGAUAACCUACCUAUAAGACUGGGAUAACUUCGGGAAACCGGAGCUAAUACCGGAUAAUAUUUUGAACCGCAUGGUUCAAAAGUGAAAGACGGUCUUGCUGUCACUUAUAGAUGGAUCCGCGCUGCAUUAGCUAGUUGGUAAGGUAACGGCUUACCAAGGCAACGAUGCAUAGCCGACCUGAGAGGGUGAUCGGCCACACUGGAACUGAGACACGGUCCAGACUCCUACGGGAGGCAGCAGUAGGGAAUCUUCCGCAAUGGGCGAAAGCCUGACGGAGCAACGCCGCGUGAGUGAUGAAGGUCUUCGGAUCGUAAAACUCUGUUAUUAGGGAAGAACAUAUGUGUAAGUAACUGUGCACAUCUUGACGGUACCUAAUCAGGAAGCCACGGCUAACUACGUGCCAGCAGCCGCGGUAAUACGUAGGUGGCAAGCGUUAUCCGGAAUUAUUGGGCGUAAAGCGCGCGUAGGCGGUUUUUUAAGUCUGAUGUGAAAGCCCACGGCUCAACCGUGGAGGGUCAUUGGAAACUGGAAAACUUGAGUGCAGAAGAGGAAAGUGGAAUUCCAUGUGUAGCGGUGAAAUGCGCAGAGAUAUGGAGGAACACCAGUGGCGAAGGCGACUUUCUGGUCUGUAACUGACGCUGAUGUGCGAAAGCGUGGGGAUCAAACAGGAUUAGAUACCCUGGUAGUCCACGCCGUAAACGAUGAGUGCUAAGUGUUAGGGGGUUUCCGCCCCUUAGUGCUGCAGCUAACGCAUUAAGCACUCCGCCUGGGGAGUACGACCGCAAGGUUGAAACUCAAAGGAAUUGACGGGGACCCGCACAAGCGGUGGAGCAUGUGGUUUAAUUCGAAGCAACGCGAAGAACCUUACCAAAUCUUGACAUCCUUUGACAACUCUAGAGAUAGAGCCUUCCCCUUCGGGGGACAAAGUGACAGGUGGUGCAUGGUUGUCGUCAGCUCGUGUCGUGAGAUGUUGGGUUAAGUCCCGCAACGAGCGCAACCCUUAAGCUUAGUUGCCAUCAUUAAGUUGGGCACUCUAAGUUGACUGCCGGUGACAAACCGGAGGAAGGUGGGGAUGACGUCAAAUCAUCAUGCCCCUUAUGAUUUGGGCUACACACGUGCUACAAUGGACAAUACAAAGGGCAGCGAAACCGCGAGGUCAAGCAAAUCCCAUAAAGUUGUUCUCAGUUCGGAUUGUAGUCUGCAACUCGACUACAUGAAGCUGGAAUCGCUAGUAAUCGUAGAUCAACAUGCUACGGUGAAUACGUUCCCGGGUCU
rnacentral:rRNA from 1 species